GACCUAAUGCGCGUGCGUUAUUUAAACUAAGUUUUAUUCUCAUGCUUAUUUUAUUUACAUGACUCUCUCAUAUAUAAUUUGUUGUAUUUCUUAAUUGAUUGGUUUUUGAACUAUUUUUGAUUGAUAAAAUCUAAAGAUAGGAAGAAUAAGCUCUCUAUAUAUAAGUGUUUAAAAAGUUCAAAAGUAUACUUCGAAUAAAUAUUAUGAAAAUGCACCAGGGAAGCCUUAAUCGAGAGUAUAAAGCAUAUGACAAGAGAGAUACAUAUAAAAAAAAUGAAAAUGAUUCUAUGGAGCGAACAGUUAAAGUUGAAGACAAUGGCUUAUCUUCUUCCUUACAAAAGGUGUCUAAUAGUUAUGCUAAUGUUGAUGAAGUUGAUUCUGCUGGUCAGACUGGUUCUAUGCAAAAAUUGGAUGUGGUAAGACAUCCUCAAACCAGUAACGAUUUAUCUUCUGCAGUAACUUCAUCUCCUAAAGUAUCAGAUACAAAAAAAGAAAGUAUUGAAUCUAGCUCAACAGCAUACAAAGGAAAGGGGGAAAAAAAGUUUAGUGGCAGGUGUCGUCUUUUUGUAGCUAACUUACACAACAGUACUACUGAAGCAGAUCUUCGUCAAUUAUUCUCACCAUUUGGUGAAAUUGGUGAAGUGUAUGUUAACAAAGAAAAAGGAUUUGGCUUUAUUCGAUUGGAUUAUCGUCACAAUGCUGAAGUUGCCAAAUGUCGUUUAGACAAAACUGUUUUCAAAGGUCGUGUUUUACAAGUUCGCUUUGCAACACAUGCAUCUGCAAUUGAACUUCAUGGUCUUGAUCGAUUUGCCUCAAAUGAAUAUAUUGAACAAGCGAUGAGUGCAUUUGGCAGCGUUGAACGUGUUGUAGUUGUUUGCAAUGAAAGAGGUUAUUCAAAAGGACAUGCAAUUGUGGAGUUUGAAUGGAAAAAAUCAGCUCAAAAAGUAUUGGAUAGAUUCAAAGAUGAAAUGUUUGUGUUAGGAAGAUUGCCAAAACCUAUUUUUGCAAAACCAUUUCUACAGCAAGAUGAUGAAGAAGGUAUACAUGAAUCAGAGGUUUCCAAGUUUCAAGGAUAUAGUGUUGAACGGGAGUAUACUCCUCGGUUUAUUCCACCCAACUCUUUUGAGUAUAUUUGGGCUAAAAAAUGGAAAGAUCUUUAUCUUGAAGAAGAAGGAAAAAAAGCUAAAUUAGAACAAGAAUUACAAGAUGCAAGGUUUAAUUUAGAAAAUGAGAUGGAGGCUGCAAGUCGACAACAAGAUGCUGUUAGAAUUAGAGAAGAGCUUUUGCGUCGUCAAGAAGAACUUCGUCAGAUUGAAGAAGAUUUACAGAGAAGAUCUGCUGUAAUCAAUUUAAGAAAUGAACAUCGAAUUCCAGAUACUUCUAGAAAACGAGAGUUUGAUUCUCCGAAAAAUACUCCAUUGCCAUCCAGAGAAUUCCAACAAAGGCAGAUAGCUUUUAACGAAGAUAUUGUACGUCAGAAUGAGUUUAUUCUUCGACAACAAGCUGAGAUAGAAAUGAGAAGAAAAGACAUAUUAAGAGGGCCUUCCAUGCCUUCUAAUAUGAUUGCUAUUCGACCUGAUAUUAUGCGUCCCAUUACUAUUCCUCUUGGUAAUAUGCAGGUGCCUUCUCGCACUGUGAUGCAUGGGUUACCACAUGGUUUUAUGCCUUCACCUGCGGGAGGAAUACAACUUGCACCAAAUAUUCAAAGACCAAUGAUGAGAAUUUGACACAACCAAUGCAGGGGAUAAGUUGUGGUUUUGUUUCUGACAUGUUGGACACAAGUCAGCUAUUGCUAAUUGAGUUGGGGAAUCUGAAUAUGCAAGAACAAUAAUAUAUGCUAGAUUUGUAACAAGAACAAUAAUUUAUGCUAGAAUUAGUUGUUGAUUGAUUGGUUGUUGU
rnacentral:misc_RNA from 1 species